rnacentral:rRNA from 1 species
GAUGAACGCUAGCUACAGGCUUAACACAUGCAAGUCGAGGGGUAACGAGAGGAAAGCUUGCUUUCCUUGUCGACGACCGGCGCACGGGUGAGUAACGCGUAUCCAACCUGCCCCCAACUAGGGAAUAACCUUGCGAAAGUAAGACUAAUACCCUAUAAUUUCCUCAGAUGUCAUCUGACGAGGAAUAAAGAUUUAUCGGUUGUGGAUGGGGAUGCGUGGGAUUAGCUUGUUGGCGGGGUAACGGCCCACCAAGGCAACGAUCAGUAGGGGUUUUGAGAGGGAGGGCCCCCACAUGGGAACUGAGAGACGGUCCAAACUCCUACGGGAGGCAGCAGUGAGGAAUAUUGGGCAAUGGGCGGAAGCCUGAACCAGCCAAGUAGCGUGCAGGAUGACGGCCCUAUGGGUUGUAAACUGCUUUUAUACAGGAAUAAAGUUAGCCACGUGUGGUUAUUUGUAGGUACUGUAUGAAUAAGGACCGGCUAAUUCCGUGCCAGCCGCCGCAGUAA